CCUACGGGUGGCAGCAGUGGGGGAUAUUGCACAAUGGGGGAAACCCUGAUGCAGCGACGCCGCGUGGGUGAAGAAGCGCCUCGGCGCGUAAAGCCAUGUCAGCAGGGAAGAAAAUGACGGUACCUGCAGAAGAAGCACAGGCUAACUACGUGCCAGCAGCCGCGGUAAUACGGAGGGGGCAAGCGUCAUCCGGAUGGACUGGGUGAAAAGGGGGCGCAGACGGCGCUGCAAGCCAGGAGUGAAAGCCCGGGGCCCAACCCCGGGACUGCUCGUGGAACUGCGUGGCGAGAGUGCAGGAGGGGCAGGCAGAAUUCCUGGUGUAGCGGUGAAAUGCGUAGAUAUCAGGAGGAACACCGGUGGCGAAGGCGGCCUGCUGGACUGCAACUGACGUUGAGGCCCGAAAGCGUGGGGAGCAAACAGGAUUAGAUACCCUAGUAGUC
rnacentral:rRNA from 1 species